CAAUUCUGACUUGUGCUCUGAUAUCUGUUUCACUGAUUUCUGCUCUCGUAAAAGAGUUAGACGACUCAACUGACAUAGAUAACCUGACCGCCUUGCAGCCAAAGGUAAGGUUCAUUUACUCAUUUAGGUUUUAUUACAGCUACAAAAUUGUCCAUCUUGUGUUCAAUGAAAAGUGAUUGUCAGCAUUUGUCAUUCACCCAUAUUGUCAAUCAUAUGAUACCCAGAAGUCAAAGGUGACAAGGAAGAAAUCAGCUGAAGAGUUCCUAAAACAGUACCGGUCAUCAGACAGUGUUAAGCUCACGAACAGAGUGGAUGAAUUGGAGCAGGACAUCUCCAAACUUAAACAGGAGAACUUAGACCUGAAACAGCAGAAUGACACAUGGAAGGAGAUUGUUCAUCAAGAUGUGCCUGGGCUCCUCAUAGAUAUGAGGAAACUGGUGAAAAUGGCUUCUCCUGCACUACCUAGCCCCGACCUCUUCAGCCCUGCGUCUGGCUCUGCACAACCAAGCUCCCCACCCUCCGGUUCCUGUGACUGAUUCAGAUCAGGUUGAAAUCCACCCAGGGACAGGGGUGUUUGUUGACAAGCUGGCCUGGGCCUAUGCUGUAAAUGCCAACUCUGCCUCAUCCUUUGUAUGGACAUUGAUCACGGCAGUCUAUCCCGUGGAGGUCUUGCUGGUGAGCAACCUCCGGGGGGAUGUCAAAGUGGAGUAGACCACACCGUCAGCCGCUAGAGAAAACAAAGCUUGACGCCAUCUACAGUAAACAAAAAAAAAAGUGAACAGGAACACAGGCCUUUGUACAUUUACUUACUUUCAUCCUUUAUUGUAAGUGUUAACUUAAUUCCCUUUUCCCCUUUUAUACCAUAGGGCCUACUCUCCAGAAGUGGCCGAAUACCAUUUCAGUUAACUUCAGCUCAGCUAUCAAUGCAAAAAUCUCUGAGCUGCGUUCCAAGUCCAAGAAUAAGGAGCAGAAUGUAAGCUCAAUGGACCUUUUGAAUAGAGAACAGAAUGGACAUUAGAGAAAGAUCAGCUAAAUCGUUCAACUUAAAUUGGUUUAUUAUACAAAAGUUUCAACUUCACAUAUUCUAUGAAUAUGGAUAAAGAAUCAUAAUUCAAGACUACUGUUCUGUUCUAUAGUACCACAGAAAGUUAAACUAAGUUAUGUUAAGUUAAGCAACCCAGGACACCCAAAAGUAUGUUGUCUGCUGUUUGCCUCUAUAGGAUAUACUGUAGAAUGUUAAAAUAAUGGUCAGUGAAAAUCUCACUUUUAAAAGUUCAUAUUAUGUUAACUCAUACCCAAAUUAUGUUUUUGACUCAUCCUAUUCUCGUAUUUGUGGUUAAAGCAUAAAUUGGAAGAAAUUAAAACACUUGUUUUUUUACCACCUCAAAAAAAUGCUUGUGUUUCCUCAUAGAAGAUGAUGUCAUCCUCCUGAGGAGGACGAGCUGGCCAA